CUGCACCAGCACCUGCAAAGGAAAAAUCAGAGGAAAAGUCCUCUUCACCACAAAACACCAUUCCGUCAAAGGACGCUACUAAAGAUUGGGAUUCCCUGUUGUCACAAAAGACACCUACAAAGGCCAAAGACAGGAAGUUCUCUUGGUCAGAAAAGACUACUCCCAAAAAGGAGGUUUCCGACAAAAAGUCCUCUUUACCAGGAAAGAGUAUG